AUGCCUACUUCCCGAGGCUUGCCCCAGAGUCGGAGGUAGAGACGCCCCCCAUGGUUCCAUAUUCACAUAGGUACGAUGUGCGAUGCGAGCGGAGGCCGCGAGAGUCUUUCUCAUUCUUCUGUCGAUAUUUUGACACUGUAGCCGCAACAGAGAUCACUUGGCAGUCUUGGGCAGUGCUGCUUGACGCAGUUAGAGACCAGUUUAUGGGCGCUCGGGAGACUUCCCGAUUCCGAGUUUUUCUUGAGGGUCCGAUCUGUCGAGCGUGGUACUUGGGUGAAUGCUUCCUGCGACAGAGCCUUGGUUUAUUCGAGCCGGUGGUUCCGAUGCCGCCCCCUUCGCACAUGAGGCAGAUAGAGAGGUACGCCCCGCAAGAGAUGGCCGAUUUCACUGUAGGUUGGGAUGCCGACUUUUUAAGGCUCGACGGCGACUGCACCGUCUUCAUUUAGACAUAUCUCAUGCCGCCUCUAGCGAGUAGUCGCCGAGGUGAGAGAGACAGACCUAUAGCCGCAGCAGGAGGAGUGGGAGGAUCCAGGGCGACCUACGCCCGUGGUAGGAGAGGUUCCCAGAGGAGACAGAGGGCAGAGUGACCAGACCUGCCCACUACCAUGAUAUGACGAGGACAGGCUGGUGAGACUUAUCAGAUUCCCAUCGCUCCUCCCCCAGCUGAUCAUGAGCUCGUCGGAGUUCGAGGCUCGACCCCGGCUUCCACAGAGUACAUUGGGCAGGCUUUGGAGUUGUCGGCUUCGGUGAUGGGGAUGCUGCAGAGGAGUAUGGACCUGCUCAAUAUUUACGGUAUUCUGG